UCGGAAUAGUAGUUUAAAUAAUGUUAGCAUUGGAAGCUAGAGAUCGGGAGUUUAACCCCGCAUUCCGAG
rnacentral:tRNA from 1 species